rnacentral:piRNA from 2 species
UUCCCAGAUUUACUCAUGCCUGUUGCCUGA